rnacentral:rRNA from 1 species
UACGAAGGGGGGCUAGCGUUGUUCGGAAUUACUGGGCGUAAAGGGCGCGUAGGCGGUGUGUCAAGUCAGGCGUGAAAGCCCCGGGCUCAACCUGGGAACCGCGCUUGAGACUGGCACGCUCGAGUCCGGGAGAGGAUGGUGGAAUUCCCAGCGUAGAGGUGAAAUUCGUAGAUAUUGGGAAGAACACCGAUGGCGAAGGCAGCCAUCUGGACCGGCACUGACGCUGAGGCGCGAAAGCGGUGGGGAGCAAACAGG